AACGCACAUUGCGCCCCUUGGUAUUCCAUUAGGGCAUGCCUGUUCGAGCGUCAUUUGUACCCUUCAAGCUCUGCUUGGUGUUGGGCUGUCUGUCUCGCCUUCUGCGCUGUAGACUCGCCUCAAAACAAUUGGCAGCCACUUCAGCGGCUUUGAGCGCAGCAGAAUUGCGCCUCUCGUCGCGGCGGGUGGCAUCCAGUAAGCAACAUUUAUAUCUUGACCUCGGAUCAGGUAGGGAUACCCGCUGAACUUAA
rnacentral:misc_RNA from 1 species